rnacentral:rRNA from 1 species
ACAUGCCUACAACAUAGUGUUAAUUCACCAGAUCCCAUUAGAACUCUACAAUUAAGAGUGCUCGAGCUAGAGUAGUAUUGGGAUGGGCUACAGCCCAGGAAUUCCUAGUGUUUUACAUGCC